rnacentral:rRNA from 1 species
GAUGAACGCUGGCGGCGUGCCUAAUACAUGCAAGUCGAGCGAACAGACGAGGAGCUUGCUCCUCUGACGUUAGCGGCGGACGGGUGAGUAACACGUGGAUAACCUACCUAUAAGACUGGGAUAACUUCGGGAAACCGGAGCUAAUACCGGAUAAUAUAUUGAACCGCAUGGUUCAAUAGUGAAAGACGGUUUUGCUGUCACUUAUAGAUGGAUCCGCGCCGCAUUAGCUAGUUGGUAAGGUAACGGCUUACCAAGGCAACGAUGCGUAGCCGACCUCAGAGGGUGGUCGGCCACACUGGAACUUGGCCACGGUCCAGACUCCUACGGGAGGCAGCAGUAGGGAAUCUUCCGCAGUGGGCGAAAGCCUGACGGAGCAACGCCGCGUGAGUGAUGAAGGUCUUCGGAUCGUAAAACUCUGUUAUUAGGGAAGAACAAAUGUGUAAGUAACUAUGCACGUCUUGACGGUACCUAAUCAGAAAGCCACGGCUAACUACGUG